AAAAAACGAAAAGUUUUGCUGAAAAAAGAUUGAAAUAAAAACCCUAACAUCCCAAAACUAGACUCGUACUUUAAUAAUUUAGAAAAGUAUUUUUAGUUAAUAGCGGUUUAUUGAAAACCUAAGCUGUUUGACUUAUCAAAUAAGAGAAAUUCUAAUCCAAAAUUACCAAUUGCUUAGAAACAAACUGUCGGUUGAGUCAUUAAUCAGUCUUAAUAACACAUAUUUUAGCUUCAUUAUUAUCUAAAAAAUGACAAAUUAAAAGGAAAAAAAGGGGUCAGAGAGGAGACAGAUGAAUCGUUUCUAUCUUUUACAUCAAUGUUUUUUUGUGCUGCACCAUGCAGCACGAUUGAGUUUUCGUCGCUUUCUUAUUUCUAGCUCCCUAUGUAUAUAUAUUUUAGAGCUAUCUCCAGCUAUAAAUACACUAUGCCAAUCCCGAAGUCCAGGUGUUAAACUGCAGAGUCUUGGAAUCGCCGACAUCACGCUCCUUCAUCCAUUCGAGUGGCUUGUUUUUCUUCUUCAAUUUCAUCUGUAAAGCACGCAUCUUCAAGCGUUCCUAAAGUAUGGAAGAAGCGCUUAGAAGGCUCGACGGAAUAUCGAGCCAUACACUAGAAACCAUCCUACACGAGCCCAUCAUCGCGGAUCUCCAGAAGAAAUCUGCACCUGCCAACACCGCUAGCACCGCAACAAACAAAAGGUCACUGAAAGAAAGUGGUGGGACUGGUGGGAACAUGAGGUACCGUGGCGUCCGCAGGAGGCCAUGGGGUCGUUAUGCAGCCGAGAUAAGGGAUCCUCAGUCGAAGGAACGGCGUUGGCUCGGCACUUUUGACACCGCUGAGGAAGCUGCUUGUGCCUAUGAUUAUGCAGCUCUAGCAAUGCGUGGUCUCAAGGCUCGGACUAAUUUCGUGUACCCAGGUGGUCAUUCUGCAACACCUGACCCUGCUCAUAACUUGCUCCCUCCGUUUACUUUCUCAAAUUCAUCUCAUCUGCCCCCUCGCCACUAUACUAUAUCCUCUUCAAAUUGCUCUUCUCUUGGUCACCCUCAUGUUGGUGACUUCUCUGCUGGUGGGUCUCCACCGCAUAGGAGUACUAGUGACAGUAUUGCUGGUACUUCUCUGAACAUGCUUUUUCUCCGUGAUUUCAUUCACUCCCCUUCAGGUUCGUCGUCUCAUAAACGUCCCCAACCUUUUUCUGAUCACUCUCCAUGCAUCAAUGGGUCCUCCAGCUCUGAUCCUAGCAAUUUCUCAGGCGGUUAUUUGGUGAAUCCUUCCAUUAACACUAUUUCUAGUUCAUUUAAUAUCUCUUUAGCAGACUCAACUGUCACUACUCUACCGCACAUGGAGUUUCAUCAGAAUUAUAGUACUCCUGGAGACCUGAAAAGGCCCGACGCUAGAGCUGAAGAGUUGGAAUUUUUUCCACAAGAACCAUCCGAUUCUGGUUUGUUGCAAGAGAUUAUUCAAGGGUUUUUCCCUAAACACUCCUCUGACAAGAUUGCGUCUUCAGAAAGCUCUGGAGAGUCAAUAGCUGCACCAACGUCUGAAAUAGUAUCUGUUCAUCAGUCACUAGAUGGGUCGAGGAGGGGCAUGAAGAAGUACUUUGUUAAAAAUGAGCACCAUGAUCCUUAUCCUGGUCAUCAAGGAAUAAGGUCGGGGCAGCUAAUUGAGGGUUGUUACAGUGGGGUUAGUUCUCAUGAACUUCCGCACUGUAAUGAGAUGCCAUUGAUCAAUCAUCAGAUGGGUCCGGACUCCAUUUUAGAUGACACUUUUCAGUACCCAGAUCGUAUGAGUGCCUUUGCUGCUAGGUUCCAGAAUGUUUGAGGUCUUGUUUCGGUGCAACGUCUAUUAGUUAAUGUUUAGUUAUAAGACUUCAAUUCAAAAGAUUAUAUAGCUUAAGUUACUAUGAUUUCCUCUUGGAAAUUUUGUUAAAUUAAGCUGAUCAUUAUAUAUGUUAUAUAUCCUCUUAACUCUUGAAGUCUACCGGAACCGUAUUUAAGUUAAUUUCGUGUUUUGUUUACAAUGGUCUCUGCACUCUCUCUCUCUGUCAUAUGUGCUCAUUGUUGACUUUGGAUCUGAAAAGGUCGUGUUUACUCGGCUUUAUGCUUCGCUUUGUGUUCUUUUUUACUGCUAUGGUGUACAGCCAGUUUAUUUUCAUUUUUGGUUCUUUCCUCGGAAUGUAUCAAAGUAAACCCUAAAUGGGUAAGCUGAAAAUCAUUCGUAGAAUCCGGUGUUGUGCCUGGGAUAAACUAGCUACUACCUGGGAAAAAUAUAAAAAUGGUACCUUACACUGUCCACUGGUAUCCAUGCCUUCCCCAGUUUUUGUUGCAAGUGAUUGUACUCCUCAUAUUUCUUUUUCUACUAUUUUUUUUUUUUUUUGCACCGCCCACGAUUGAUUCUAAUUUUAGAAGAACUAAAUGAUAAGUUCCAGAUAAAUUAAGUUUCUUCUGGGAGGCGAGGAGUUCCGUUCGGAUAGCAUCAUUGAAGAACCAGAGAUCCCAGAACGCCAUUGAUUUCGUUUACCAUGCUGUAAUUAGUAUAAAUCUCCAAGACUUCCAAAAUAAAGAGUAUGGUGCUUAAGUUAGCAUUCACUGAAGAGGGAAAGAGCCUUCAGAGAACAUGUUCAAUGUGUUUGCAUAAUAGAGCGGGGAGAGAGAGAGAGAGAGAGAGAGAGAGGAGACCCCUUUACCUUGGAAUUCAAAACCCUUUAUAUAGCUUUGAGCUCACAUGAAUUUGCUGGCAGACAAGUGCAAAAUAGACAAUUUAUAUGAUAUAUGUAUGAGCUUUGAAGAAAAAUUGAGAGAUUUAUUUUUGUUUAAGCCACUACCCCUCAAGAUUUGUUCGUUUUCCUUGGUGUUAAGCUCUUUAUUAUCAAGAAUUUGUGGUCUUAACUCGACGUCUUAACUUGAGUUUGGCUAUGACUCUAGUGUUGGAAGUAAUUAAAAUUUUAUAAAUUAUUUUUAUUUAAAAUUAUUAUUUUUAUAAAAAUAAAUAUUUUAAAUUAUAAUCAUUAUCAUACUCCAAACUACUCUCUUAAUUAAACAGAACAGUAUAAAUUUGAUGUUAUUUCUUUCUCCUUUAAUUUUCCAUUCUUUUUUAGUUAACACUUUAUAAUAAUAUUUAAGAGAAUCUAUAAACUUAAGAACCGAACCUUAUCUCAUGAAUAGUAUAGAGAAGUACAGUAACUGAUGAACUUGAUUAUAGCUAGAUUGGAUCCAAACUGAACCUGUAAAUUUUAGGUUAUAUGUUCAAGUUAAGGUUCAUAAUUUGUGAACCAAACCAAACCUCUGUUAGAUUAACUGAACUGAGUCUGAUAUAUAGAGACAUCCAUGCACGCAUUUUUUUUCCUUAUAUUUUUCAAUUCUUAAUACUCGAUAGCAGUGUUAGAAAUAAAUGGUGAUUUUACAUGUAUUGCCAUUCUUUUUAAUAUAUUUAGAACAUAAAACAACUAUAUAAAUCUAUAUGACUAUUAUAAUAAUUUGUUACUUUAUCUUAUAAAAAAAUUAUAAUUAUUUAUUGAAGUGUUAUAGUAAGGAUAUCCUUAGUUAUUGGAGCAACUUUUCUGCACGUAGAUUAAGUUCUUUCCUUGAUCCAAUGUCAAACAAGCCCCCUCUAUAAGAUAAUGAUUUUUAAUUUUUUAAAAAAUAUAUAUUGUUAAUUUUAUCAUCAUAUAUAUUCUACUUUUGGACUCGUAAGAACACAUAUUUUUUCUUGAUCAAUUUUAAGUUUGAUUUUCAACAUUAUUUAAGAUUGAGUUAUUUAUUUUGAACAUGUUUAAUAUUGUUAAAUUUAUGUUUUAUUUUGGCUAGUUAAGAUCUAAGAAAAUAGAAAGAAAAAAGCAGUAAAAUAAAGAAUAUUCAGCGCUUAUUAAAAUCAAGUUUUUUUAUUAAAAAACUAUAAAACUCUUAGAUUAAAAUAAAUUAAGUAUUCACUCUUGGAUUAAAAGUUAUUUAAUUGUUAAUUAAUCUCCAAGUCAGCUGUCCAAAAUCUAUCAUUGUUUUAUAACAUGAUUUUAAAUAAAUGUAAUUGAAGUACUGUAGCAACUUAUUUAUUCAUAAUAAUAAAUAUUAAUUAGGUAUUGAGUCCAAUAUUAUCGAAAUUAAUGUUGCAGUUAUGGACGACAUUUACAACUUUUAACGGUACCCAGUCCCACGCUUGGAAUAGUUUCUUCCGACAAGGAAGCGUACAAAUGUUGGAAGAUUCAGCAUUAAUUAAAAUCCAUCACUGCUGCAACCAUCAUCCGUACGGUCGCGCACAUAUUCUGAUCAAUUCCUCUUUGCCAGAAUAACCAGAUACGCAUACCCGUUUCGUACAUUAGCAUAUCCUGUGGGUCCUUUCUCUUCUGAUCUAGUUAUGACCCUAAUGUCAGUCUUGAUGGACUGUAAUUCAUCCACUUCCCACGGUUGCCCGAGGUGGCUGAGGCUUUCCUUUCACGAGCAGGACGGUGGCAACAAUGAUCUGGCUGCUUCCCCGCCACGAGAUUUGACACCGUUAUAAAUUAUAUAUCUAAACACGCUACAGUGUAAUUUUUAAAUAUAAUCUUUAGGGUUUUACUUAACGGUGAAGUGGAUCUUAAAUUAUACAGUUUGACCCAGAAAUAUUUUUUAAAAAAAUUAUGUCUGAGAUUUUAGUACUUUACAUUAAAAAAAAAAUUAAAACAAUGCAUGAGAUAUAGAUUAUAAAAAAUAAAUAUGAAGUAUGAAACGUGAUAUAAUUAUCUUAUAUUGAAAAGUUAAUAAAUAAUCCAUGUGAAUAUAAGUUAUAUAUAAUUAUUUCACAUUAAAAAAUUAAAAAAUAAUUUAUGUGGAUGUAAGCUAUAAAAAAUAAAUGUGAAGUGUAAUAUAAGUAUUUUAUAUCAAAAAAUUAACAAAUAAUCCAUAUGAAUUAGAAUAUAAAACAUAAAUGUAAAGUGUAGUAUAGCAUAAUUGUUCUACAUUGAGAAGUUAUGAAACAAUUCACGGAUAUGUAAGCUAUAUAAUUAUCUCAUAUUUAAAGGUUAAAAAUACAAUUUAUAUAGAUGUAGGUUAUAUAUAGCUAUCUCACAUCUAAAAGUUAAAAAUACAAUUUAUAUGAAUGUAAGUUAUAAAAACAACAUGUGAGGUUAAGUAUUCAUAAAUUGAUUUUAUAUUUUUAAGGUUUAUUAAAAAAAAUUAAAAAAAAAAAAAAAACCUGGCCUCACCUGGGUUAUGUUGAACCACCCGAGUUUUAGGUAAACCUAGCGGGUCGCCUGGGUUUGACCAUGCUAAUUGCAAGCUAGGGUUUCAUAACUAUGGCAUCCAUCAUAGUUAUGAAACUCGACCCGAGACUAACCUGGGUCAACUUAAAAAAAUAAAAUAAAAAAUUAUGUUUGAGGUUUUAAUAUUCCAAGUGAAAAAAGUUUUGAAAUAAUACAUGUGAAUAUAAGUUAUAAAAAAAGUGAGGUAUGAAGUGUGGUAUAGUUAAUCAUGCAUUGAAAAGUUUAGAAAUAAUCAAUGGGAAUAUACACUAUGAAAAAAUAUAUAUAGUGUAAUAUACUCAUCCCACAUCAGAAAUUUAAGAAACAACCAACUUGGAUGUAAGUUAUAUAUAGUUAUCUCAAAUUGAAAAAAAGAAAAGAAAAAAGAAACAAUGCAUGUAGAUGUAGACAAUAGAAAAAAAAAUACAUGAGGCAUCAGAUGUAAUAUAUAAUAUAAAAUAGAAAUGUGAAGUGUAGUAUGGUUAUCGCACAUCGAAAAGAUACUAAACAAUCCAUGUGGAUAUAAGGUAUAAAAAAUGAUAUGCGAGACUAAGUAUUUAUAAAUUAAUUUUAUAUUUUUAGGGUUUAUUAAAAAAAAUUAGAUAUCACCCGGGUUAUGCUAUGUCAUCCAUGCUUUGGGUUGACUAGGUGAGUCAUCCGAGUUUGACCAAUUCCAUUUGCAAGCCUAAGUUUUUAUGACUUCAAACCCGGCCAAUGCCUUUAAUUUCUCAAGUUUCAGGCUAACCUGUCAAGCCAGGCCAGACUUAGUUUCAUAACUACUGGGGAAAUGUGUAUUUUCAUGGAUCCAUAAAUUUUAGUGUGAGUUGCAAGCCAGGAUGGAGGACUUAGUUAUAUACAUUCUACAUGUACUUGAUGUAAAUGAUCUUUUAUCUUAGAAAUGGCACCAUUGAAAAUUUUUUCAAUUUUUUUUUUACCAUAGAGUUGAUUAAUUUGUUAUUUGCUUUUUUAAAAAAAAAAAAAGUUUUUUUAUAUUUUUUUCCUUAUACAUGAUAUUUUUAUCACUUUACACUUGAUCUAUUUAUCACUAUUUUUUUUUCCUAUCUUCAUUUUUUAUGAAAGUUUUUUAAUUCUUUUUCCUUUACACUUUCUUGAAAAGAAAAUGUUAUUUCUUAUUCAUUACACUUACAAUAUUUAUCACUUCAUAGUUGGCAUAUUCUUAAUGUCAUUAUUUUGUAAUUUGUUUUUUAAUUUUUUUCUUUUUUUAUCUACACUUUUUAAAAAAUUAGUAUACAAAGACUUCAAGAAAAUGUGUUACAAUGUAGCAAUUGUAAUAUUAUUUCAUUUUGCUAUUACAUUAAAAAUAAGCUUGAGAUCUUAUGAAUGUUUAUUAACGCAUAUUAUCUUCACUAUAUUUUACUAUAUAUAAGCAUUUACUUUUUAAUUCACAAAUAUAUUUUAACUUGUUGUCAAAAAACAUGUUAAUAACACCAACAAAUUAAUUCAUUUUAUGAUUUUUGUUGUAAGAAAACGCAUUUGAAAAGCUUUUGUAUUUACCUUUUUUUUCUAAAAAGAUUAUUUGACCUGAGGCAAAGUGUCAGUCCAAUAAGUAGUAAAAUAUAAAGAGAAAACAUUUAUUAAUAUUAAUUAGUUAAUAUAAAAAUAGAGUAAAAGGAAGAAAAAAAAAGAAAAAAGAAACAAGGGUGCUACCGAUGAAGGAGCAUUAACAGUAGCUGAGGAUAUGAAAUUUAGGCUUUAUUUGAUAUUGCUGUCAAACCAUGUUUUUGAAAAAAAAAAUUUCGGUUUAAAUUAUUUUUGGGUAUUUUUUAAUCGUUCUAAUAUACUAAUAUAAAAAAUAAAUUUUAAAAAUAAAAAAUAUAUUAUUUUAAUGUAUUUAUAAAUAAAAAAACAUUUAAAAAAAUAACUUUUACUAUAUUUCCAAACAAGCUAAUGAAAAUGAAAAAAUAUAUUAUUUUAAUGUAUUUAUAAAUAAAAAACAUUUAAAAAAAUAACUUUUACUAUGUUUCCAAACAAGCUAAUGAAAAGGAUAGCGAUAAAAGUUAGCUAUCCUAUUAAAUUAUCUUCAUAACAAACUUUAUUUAAUAAUUACAUUUUACUCAAAAAUAAAUUUAUUUUAUACAUAGUUAUUAUAUAAUCACGAUAUUAACAAAUUUAAAAUGUUGAAUGAGGUUAAACAAUAAUCUUACAUCACUUUCUAACAACUAUACUAAAAAUGUAAUUUCAUUUAAAUAAACUAAGAUGAUGUUUGAGAAGGUAAUAAUAAUUAUUUUUUAAAAUAUAUUAAAAUAAUAUUUUUUUAUUUUAAAAAAUUAUUUUUAACUUUAUCACAUUAAAAUAAUUUAAAAUCAUAAAAAUAUAUUAAUUUAAAAUAAAAAUAAUAUUUUUUAUUUAAAAAAAACACUUCUAAAAUCCAAUACCAAGCCAAAGCCAAGUGAAAUAUGUUACUUAUUUCUCAUUAAAAAAAAAAUGUCGGUCAAUUUAGAAUUUUCAAAAUUCAAAAGAUGUUAAUCAUUCUUUGGUAACUUCAAGGCAAAAAUUUUGUUUAUUUUUAUUUUUGAGUUGAUAGUGAAAAGAUUGAUUGACAAGCCAUUUUUACAGGCAAAAUUCGGGUGUGCGCGCGCAAGGAAUACGGAUUACCCCCUAGUCAAAUAUUUCAAAGGUUGAAACUUUUGCGGUUUCAAUUUGCUUUACAUAUUUUUAAUAUUAAUAUUUUUAAAUUAUUUUAAUAUAUAAAUGUUAAAAAUAAAAUUUAAAAAAUAAAAAAAUAAUUAUUUUAAUAUAUUUCUAAGUAAAAAAUACUUUUAAAACAACUAUAAUUACUCUUCCAAACACUUUUAAUUUUUGUAGUUGCUAUACUUUUAAAAAUAUGAAAUUAAGUUCUUUAAAUUAUUAUUUUUUUCUAUUGUAUUUUUAAAUUGUUUUAAUAUAUUAAUAUUAAAAAAAAUUAAUUUUAUCUAUUUUUAAGUGAAUUUUAUUUUAAAAAACAACUACCGUCACAAUAUAAAACACUACCAUAGACACAUUUUGCUUUUAUAUUUGAAGUUGAGUGUGUAUACAUUUUAAAAAUAUAUUUUACUUAAAAAAUAUUAAAUUGAUAUUUUUUUAAUUAUAAUGUGUUAUUAUCCAAAAAUUUUAAAAAUCUAAAAUAAAUAUCUUAAUAUAUUUUUAAUAUAUAUAUAUAAAACCACGCUAAACACAUUUAAUUUAUACGCUGGGGAAUGAUUCGCAGUUAUAAAAAAAAAAGAGGAGGCAGCAUAAUCGAUAACUCCGCUAUUACAGACCUCUCCUGACUAGUUUGUUCCAAAUCAAACCAUCUUUAUUCUCUGAGUUGUUGUUUUCUCUAUUUUAUAUAUAUAUAUAUAUAUAUAUAUAUAUGCUUUCUCUUAGCUGAAACUAAAAGCCUGCAGGAGUUAUUGCUCUGUAACCCUUUCCGUUUCUGCCCAAAAUAAAUUCUAAUAUCAUCGGAGGACUUGAUCAUCCAUUUCAACGUUCUCAAUCCCAGCCUACAACCUGCUUCAUGCGUGCAUGCCAGCUCCGUCCAUGAUCCGUCGCUCCUUAUCUGACACCUGCGCCGUCGGCAGCCCUGCCACCUGCACCGUCGGCAGCCCUGCCACCUGCACGCGAGGGACACCUAUUUUAAUGACCCAAAACAAUCCAAAGCCUUAGGAAAUCCUCCCGUCCAAGAUAAGUUUUUGCAUGCCAAAGCAUGCAUUAUCAGUGUUCUUUGAAUUUGUGAUUUCUUGAGGUAUGUUUAAGACAUUUUUUUAAUAAUUGCCUUGUUCUCUGGGUUGGGGUUUAUUUGAACAAACUUGGAGAAAAGGGUUUAAUUGAGUAAAUUCAAAGAACACUGGGGUUAUUUAAGCAAAUUAACUAAAAAAAUAAUCGAGAGGACUAUUUUGACAGCUGUGAAUCAAGAAAAGUAAACCGUGGCCGUAUAUUCCUAUUCACAUUAUGAUGAUAGGUUCAGGGUAGGGUGAUUUGUGCCUGUGUUCACUUUACAAUCUUGAGCAUUGAUUGUGUACAAAUAUUUCUUAUUUCUUAACUCUUAAAAAAUCAUAAAUAAAUAAAUAAAGAAGAGAGAGAAAUUUAUUUUCAUUGGAAUUCAAACUUAAAUUCGGCAAUUAAGACUAUCAAAUAAAAACUCCUAGCUUGACGGAAUCAUGAAUAUUAAAAUUAAAUCAUUUUGUCAUCUGUAUAGAAAAAUAUGCUGAUUUAAUUAUUUUGAUUUAAAAAUUUUAGAUUUAAAAUUUGCAUUGAUUUUUAUAUAUAUAUAUAUAUAAAUGGCUUUUGAGUUUAGAUUUGUGCUUGGAAGGUUUAGGAGAUUGUUUAUAUAUGUUUUUAGUAAAAACAACAAGAAAAUAAAAUCAAUAGGAUAUAUAUAUAUAUUCAAUUAGAGUGUGAUCAUGGAGCGUACUUUUUAGAUAAUUUUAAUAUAUUUAUAUCAAAAAUAUUAUUUUAAUACAUUUAUAAAUAAAAAAUAUAUUUACACCGUCCCAAACACUUUUUAAUUUGUUUUAAAUAAACCAUUAAAUUUAUUUGAAAUGAAUUUCUAAUCUGUCUUGGAUUCAGCUAUGUUGGGCUUAAUCUUGCUGGGUUACAAAGUUUUCCUAUUGAAAUGGGCUUAUAAUAAGUCUUUUAAAUGUAUAAUAAUCUCUCGAUAUUGAUAUUGAUUUACUUGCACAUAUUUGAGUAUCAAAUAAAUUAAUUUUCGUUGAUUCCCCCCUCUUCAAAUCUAUCACGGGAAGAAUCGAAGAUAAAGGCUGAUAUAAUACUUGAAUGUUAAUUAAAUUAAAUUUUUAAUAUGAUAUCAGCCUUUAAUGACAAAACAGUUAUAAGUUUAAAAUUUUAUUAUUUUUAUUUUUCAAUAAAAAUUAAACACAAAAUAAUAUAAAAUUUAGAUAAAUUUCAAAUUAAAAAAAAAAUUUACUUAAAAAGAUUUAUUAAAAAAUAAAAUAAAUUAUAUUUUAAAAUAUCAUUUAAUAAUUAAUAAUUUUAAAAUUUAAAUUAAAUUAAUUCUUUAACAUCAACAAACAAAGCAGAAGCUCCAAUGGGCCUUUUCAAUAGUACAGACAUGUAAAUGAAACAUAGUCAUUAACUGUCUUGGUUAACCAUGCGGAUUUGUAAGGAGCAAGAUGAUUCAAAUGACUGUGGAACAAAUUAAUUUCUCUCCUUGCUUUUUCUAAUUUUUAUUUAAUCUUCAAUUAAAAUCGUAAUAUAUUUAAAAAAACACUCUUUGUUUAUAUUCCAUUAUUUUCAUGUUCUAGUUUUUAUCGGAUUUCAUUUAAUUUUUUUCAUUAAAUAUUUUAUUAGAUUUAACAUAUAUCAAAUUCUUUAUACAUGAAAAAUAACAUUUAACAUGCCACUCACCAGCUAAUCAAGAUAAAAAUAUAUAAAAUAAACUUUAAAGGUGUAAUUUAAUUAAUUAGAUGUUAAGUUUGUUUUUUUAAUGAUAAGUCUUAUAAAUUUUAGAAUUAUUAAAUAUUUAAAACCCGUAAAAUUAUUAAGAUAUAUUUAAAUUAGCUGACCCCUCAUUAAUCUAAAAAAAUAGAUAAAAUAAUAACAUUAAUAAGAGGAAAGGAAUGUUUUGAACAUGAAAUUAACCAUAGGUAGUGGAAGAACCCUGCAAGCAUUGACCCAAAAACAGUCUUCUAGCUCCCUACCUCUCCCGCCUCUCUGUUCUUUUAUCUCUUCGCUGUAGAUCAUACUCUGUUCAUCUUGCUCGCUCUUCUUCUCAAGGGUAGGCCACCCGUAAUCCAAGCCCGUCGUCGUCAGUUUCAAAUCUUCCCACUGCAUUCCCAUGUUCCUUACAGUCUCACAAGCGUGGAUUAUUGACUUUGUGGGAUCCAUGAUUUAAGUUCUUAUGGAGAUAUGGUGGUGCUGGUCCUUUCGUUCUUUUGAAAACGACUCCUAGCUCUUGGUCUGGGUGGUGACGGUGACAGCGGCGUCUGAUUUGAUCAUUUGGAAAAGGAAGGAAAGGAAAGGAUCGCACAUGGCGGUGGGGACUCCCCUUCAACUCUUUUGCUUGGUUCACAGGAUUAGAGAGAGCAUCUUCAAUCAAUCUAUGCUAUAAGAAUCUUCCUUUGAAUGCUAAGUGUGUGGAGAUCCUUUCUUGUUAGUGCUCUUCUUCUUUUAAUAUUAGGAAUUUCUUUUGCAAAUUAGUACAUUUCAGGAAAUAAAAAACAAUUCAAUUUGAAUGAAUGGUUCAAUUAAUAUUUACUAGAAAUAGCAUAAACCUUGAUAAAUUUAAGAGGUUGCUUUAUUACUAUCAACGCAAAUGUUUAUUUAUUUUUUAAUUUCUUGUGUUGUUGAUAAUAAAUUUUUAAUUAUCUAAACUCUGCUAAUUUUUUUAUAAAAAAAAUUCAACUAUGCUGGUUUGAAAAGAAAAAAAUCUCUGAUGAAGUUAUUUUUCUUUUAAAAAAGAAAACUAUUUUCUUGGAAUAAAAUCAUUAGCUCGACAAGGGUCUCUUAAUUUGUGCCUUCCGAAUAAUAUUUUUAAAUUAUCACUUGUUUAAUGUUGUAUAUGUUUUCCAUUUAAUAUGUUUAUAAGCUGUCAUCGCCAUGGCAAGGGAAACUCUCGCAGCUCUCCCCAAUGUUCAACCUUCUCCAUUCCAGCGUCAGAGCGGUAUGUUUUUUAUUUAAAAAUGUACAGACCUGAAAACAUAAAAAGAAAAAAAAAAUAGUUUAAAAUAAAAAAAUUAAAAAAAAAUCAAAUUUCUUCCGAUCUCACCUUUGGAUUAUGACUCCAUAGUUGUAUCUGGUCAGUUAGCUAUUGACCCAUGCAUGAUUCACUAUCACCAGUGUCAGUCUGUCACAAAUCACAAAGAGGAAGAAAACCAUUUAUGCAAGAAAACAAGGGAUUAAAUGUCGUAUAGAACUAGCUUGCUGCAGCUUUUAAAAUAUGAAGUCGGGAAGAUAAUGGUGUUGAAAUUUGAAGGUGAUGAUUACUGGAUCAGAGUACUAACUAAGCACGUAAAACAGGGAUUUGACUAUCUUCAACCAGGGAAAUGACUAAAUUCUCUGUAUUGCUUGGAAAAUCGACAAUGGAGGAGCCAAAUGUUCAAUUAGGGAAUUGACUGAAUCAUAAAUGAAAGAUUAUUUAAUGGAGUAGCAAAAUGAAGAGUGCUGUCUUCCAGGAAUAUAUUAUCAGAAUUAAAAUUUCAAAAGUGAUUUUUAACAAAGGAUAUGAAAAUGUUUUUUUUUUUUAAUUUUUUAUAUUAUCACAUUGGAAUCAUGAGAGGGUGUGAGAAUUGAAAAAAAAAAACGAGAAAAAACGCCCAAGAACUUACACUUGCCGAUUGCGCACCAUAUGGAUUCCUUCAUUAAAAUGUUUUUUUGUCAUCUUGGAAGUUUAUUCCUUUAAGCUCCUCGUGUUCAACCUGCAAUUCAAAAUGAUCGACAGAGUGAUUAGAAAACUAAGUAAAAAUCAAUAACAAAUCGGAAAAAAAAAAACAAAAAAGCGAGUAAAGUAUUGAAAACAGACACGAACCAUGAGACACACCCCCAAAAAAUAGAACAGAGAAGGACACUGUUUGCAACGGGGACUAUGAAAAGCGAACUAGGGAAGACGAUACAGAUCGAUAACGCAGCAACACAUAAAUGAUGGGUGAUGGGCACGUUAAUAUCAAGCCACGAGAAAAAUAAUGGAUAAGGAGGAGAGCACGGCACCCAACGCAACUAGGAAGGAUCUUGAAAACAACAUAAGGCAUCUACUGGACGCGAAUGGGCGAUGGAAUUGGCAAUGAACGAAGGAAAGAGCUGUUAUGCACAGUAGUACUGGAAAAGAUGAUCCAAAACGCACCAUCACAAAAAGCUUUUGAACCCAAAUGAAAUAUUGGACUGGAAAUUCAUUCAUUUUCAGGACCAAAAAAAGCAAUCCCUUCUUAACGAUUUACAGUCACCAAAUACAUAUAUCUCAUGAUCAUAUUAGCUACUGCAAGCCCCAGUGUUCCCCUUUCCAUUUCUCUGUUUCUUUAGUUAUAUUAUACGUUGUUCUUUCCAUUUAUAUAUGCCAAAUAUGUCCGGUCUCAGUUCAAUUGAGUCUGCAGUUAUUGCCAAUGAUUCCCGUUGUGAACAAGGUAGAUAUGGCCAGGAUUCCCAUGAGCAUGGUAACCAUAUUGAUACUGAGGAGGCGGAGGGGUCUUCUUCUUUGAAGAAAACGCUACUGGCUUCGACAUCUGAUGAUAGUAGCACCUUGGAGUGGUAGAAGUUGAAGCAAUGGUGGCACCACCAUAGCUAUUAGAGGGUGGGGAGGAGGAGGAGGAUGAGGAGGAGGAGGAGGAGGAGGAGGAGGAUUUCGAAGAGGAAGAAUAUAUUUUUUUCGGGAGCGAAAGGAAAGCCCUGAUCUUUAAAGAUGCAGUCGGUGUUGCUGCUCCUGCUCGAUCGUAUUCCUCGAUGAGAUUUGCUAGAUCCUCAUCCGAGGUGAUCGAUACCAG
rnacentral:lncRNA from 1 species